rnacentral:rRNA from 1 species
UACAGAGGGGGCAAGCGUUGUUCGGAAUUACUGGGCGUAAAGGGCGCGUAGGCGGCCCGCUAAGUCGAACGUGAAAUCCCCGAGCUCAACUCGGGAACUGCGUCCGAUACUGGCGGGCUUGAAUCCGGGAGAGGGAUGCGGAAUUCCAGGUGUAGCGGUGAAAUGCGUAGAUAUCUGGAGGAACACCGGUGGCGAAGGCGGCAUCCUGGACCGGCAUUGACGCUGAGGCGCGAAAGCUAGGGGAGCAAAC